rnacentral:lncRNA from 1 species
GGGCGUACAAGGGCCAUCUGACUCCUCAAGGGCUAAGUCCCUCUGUCGAUUUGACAUGUUUGCCUCUCCCCCAAACAAGAAGCUCUCAGGGUUAUUCUGUAAGGCAGUCAGCCCGCGCAUUGCCUAGUUUUAAUGGAAUUAAUAGCGAUGCAUUUCUAGAGGCGGAAAAAGGAGAAGGACUGACCCCGAGCACAGUCUUGUGGCUGUAAGCCUUUCUGGUACAUUCUCCAGCCCCUUCAGUUUUCCUGGACCCGAGCCUCAGCCCAGUAAUCCCCUGCAAGGCUCUCACCCACGGCCAAUUGCUGGGCUCUCACACCACACCCUUCAGCGAGGGCUCCGGCCGGGACCUAGACCAAGUUCAGCUGGUAAUUGCGCUACAAAUUGCUCGAUUGCCUUCAACCUUGCUCUUCGGUAUCUCUUUGUCAAGCUGCGCUGCCAUACGGGUCAGAUCACAGAACUUCCAUUCACCUCCAGCAAUCAAUACGGUGCCAUCCCCGUGCGUGAAGUCUCAUCCUGUCUAUUGUAAUUUUGCUGUCUCCUACCCUUCCCGCCUGUGUGGUUUGCCUCUCCUCCAGUGAGAGGGGCUCUGCUAUUUCCCUCGGCUUCCCCUGCCUCUUCGGCAUCUGGCGGCGCUGGUUAGAGAGAGAUCUUUUCCCAAGAAUUUCCUGGAAAAGUAUCGGAUGGGUCUAUAGUCUUCUGCAUCUGAACAAGCACCCAUCCAGGACAUACCUGGUUCCCUAGCCUUUCAAAUACCUCUACUUUUUUUUUUAUGUUUAUUUUAUUUUUUUAUUAAAAAAAAUUUUUUUUUAUUAUUUGUUUUGGAGACAGAGAGAGACAGGGCACAAGCAGGGGAGGGUGAGAAAGAGACAGAGAGACAGAGAGACAGAGAGAAUCUGAAGCAACCCCAGGCUCUGAGCUGUCAGCACAGAGCCCAACGUGGGGCUUGAACCCACGAACCGCGAGAUGGUGACCUGAGCCGAAGUCGGAUGCUCAAGUGACUGAGCCGCCCAGUCGCCCCUAAUGUUUAUUUUUGAGAGAGAGAGAGAGAGAGAGAGAGCAAGUAGGGGAGGGGCAGCGAGAGAGAGGGAGACGGAGGAUCUGGAGCAGACCCUGCCUUGAGAGCAUAGAGUCCGAUGCAGUUUGCCCAUGAACUGAAAGAUCAUGACCCGAGCCAAAGUCAGACGCUUGACCAACUGAGCCUCUACUCUUUAAUCCUUCCUUGACUCAGCGUGGAGAAACCCCACUUCUCAGGAGAACUAUGGCAGACGACUUAGGGUCCCAAGAACUUUGGAUUCCAGAGGUUUCUUGCCCAGUGUCCCUGCACAGACAGCCGUGGGGGAGGGUGGUUGCGGGGGGUUGGCAGUCCCAAUGGGCCCUCAGCCCGGACUUUGUAGGCCAGUGGUGAGGGCCCUUGGAGGAUCCCUCCAGCACCCUGGAGCAGUUCUCAAACUGUAGCAUGCCUCUGGUGGUGGGCUGGUCCAAACAGAGGUCACUGGGCUCCACCCCCAGAGUUUCUGAUGCAGGCU